rnacentral:miRNA from 1 species
UUCUCUGUGUAGCUUUGGACCUAUCCUGGCACUCACUCUGUAGCCCGGGCUGGCCUCGAACUCACAGAGAUCUGCCUGCCUCUGCCUCCCUAGUGCUGGGAUUAAAGGCGUGUGCCACCAAUGCCUG